rnacentral:misc_RNA from 1 species
UGGUCUUGACAUCCAUGGAAUCCCGCAGAGAUGUGGGAGUGCCGUAAGGAACCAUGAGACAGGUGCUGCAUGGCUGUCGUCAGCUCGUGUCGUGAGAUGUUGGGUUAAGUCCCGCAACGAGCGCAACCCUUGUCCUUAGUUGCCAUCAUUAAGUUGGGAACUCUAAGGAGACCGCCGGUGACAAACCGGAGGAAGGUGGGGAUGACGUUUCCAGGUUAGG